AAGUGGUAUGAUGCACAUUUGUUGUCUCACACUUAGUGUCAUUCCAUGUGCCUUGACCUUAUGAUUGGUCAGAAAAUUACUUAAAAAUUAAAUUUUAACUUAAAUAUAUAUAUUUUAACCAAUCGCAAGGUCAUGACCCAUGAGUGACAGUAAGUGUGGCACAACAGAUGUGCACUCUAAGUGAUACAUGUUUGAUUCCCCUUAAGCAAAGUCUCGGUUCGAAUCUUGUGGAUAGAAAAAUAUCCGCUAAGAGAGUUAGCCCCACAUAUUUAUGGAUGUUCCCGACUUGGAUAGAAUUGCCUCCAAUACGAGGAUACAUGGGAGAAACAAAAAAAAAUCUAAUACGGUUUUUUUCUCUCUAUUAUUUUCUUAUCUUUACCAUAUCUAUUACCUAUAUAAUAAAAAAAACUCCCUCAUGACAUGUGUCAAUCUCUCAAGCCCUCAUGACAUGUGUCAACCUCUCAUCAAAACUAAAGGUCCCUCAUGACAUGUGUCAAUCUCUUAAUGACAUGUGUCAAUCUCUCAAGAAAUCCCUCAUGACAUGUGUCAAUCUCUAAAGCCCUCAUGACAUGUGGUUUAUUUAAAAAUAAAAAGAAUAUGAUUACCUAUGCAAUAUUAAAAUAUAAUGUUACUAUAGCAAUAUUAAAAUAAUAAUAAUAAUAUGAAUCAUAACAUAUUGUUUGUAGUUAUUUUAGAGUUAAGUAAUAUUUAUUUUUAUACUAAUCUUAUUUUAGAAUCAAAUAAUAAUGAAAUUAUAAAUUUAUUGAUGAUUUUUUUUAUUAAUAGGAUACUACUAACUAUAUCAUGUUAUGUAUGUGUAAAAAAACAAUGCUAAAGCAGUAGAUAAACCAGUAGAUUGCCCAUUUUAUAUAUAAUUAAUAAUUUUUAACAAUAUGAAUGCACUGGUAACAUAUAUGGUUUUAACCAUACGAAUGCACGAGCAAUAUACAUAUUCUUAAACAUAAAUGCACAUAUAAUAUGUGUUCUUAAUCAUACGGCAAAAAAUAUCGUCCCGUGCAAAUGCACGGGUAACUUGCUAGUUGAUAAAUUAAAAUGGUGGUGAACGAAGAUUCAUAUUGAGGAUGUAUUAGAACAACAUUAGCAAAUGCAACUAACAUGCAUCAAUAUGAGAGGUACUAGGUACGUAUAACUAACGUGUAUUUUGUGUUUCUUUGCAUUUUAUCUGUUUUUUCAGGCAAAUGAAGAAGAGAUAGAUCUUUUGCAGAUAAAGAUCAAAACAGCUAUUGUAGCUCUCAAUGAACAAAAUAAUCAUAAAUAAGUUUUGUCCUAAUUUAGGUGUCUUUAGUGUAUGGGUAAAAUAAUUUAUGAUAGAACAUUAUAGCAUCGUUCGAUUUAUAUUGUUGACCCAAGUUAAUAAGAUAAAAACUUGAUUGUUGUUGUUGUAGUGAAUGAGUAAAAUUAUGAGGGAGCGUGGCUUUCUGGUCUCCAUGAGUUUCUGGCCACCACCUUUUAUAUAGUUUAUUUACCUCUUCUUCCAACUCAAAGUUCUCAUUAUUAGUACAUCUAAUAAAUGUUAUUCCAAUAUAAGGUAAUAAAAAUGC
rnacentral:lncRNA from 1 species